rnacentral:rRNA from 1 species
AUGCCAUGGCUAUUGAUUGGGGACCUGAAUGAAAUUCAGUUCUUGUCUGAAAAGGAAGGAGGGAACCUGAGACCGCCGCAGUACAUGCAGGCCUUCCAGUCGGCGAUUGAUGACUGCGGAUUGCGGGACAUGGGUUAUAUAGGUGAUCACUUUACGUGGCAGCGAGGUGAAAUCAGGGCGAGGUUGGAUAGAGGGCUAAUAAACGCCGGUUGGGAAGAUAUGUACCCAUCGGCGGUACUGCAACACUUGCUAUACAAUCAUUCGGACCACCGCCCAAUUUUG